ensembl:lncRNA
CUGUUUCUAGGCCACUGGCAUGACUUCACUGGGCAUGGAGCUGGAGAAAAUGUCCCCUCUCCCUGGCUAGCUGGUAGCAUGGCCCCAGCACACUACUGCUCAGUGGUCACAUAGCUUCACCUUCUCUUUGCUCUGUUGGUCUAAGCAAUCCAAAUAUCCACCCAGGCUCAAGGGGCGGGGAAAGACUCUGCCUCUUGCCGGGCGAUUAGGAGGUCACAGGAUAAGAAAAGUGUUAUGGGAUGAGAGAUGUUGUUAAGGCCAUCUGUGGAAGAUCCGAUCUGCCUCAACAAGCAAGAACAAAGAGAUUGGAAGGAAUGCACAGAAGAAAAUGUGACAUUCAGAAAAUCUCCAGAUGAUAGGCCGGGGACUGCAGAUUCAGGUGGGACAGAGGCCUGAAGCCAAAGCCCCUUUUUCUAGCCAAAACCUGACCCUCGCCAUUGCUCCCAGGAGUGAUCUGACGAGUGGAAAGUGAGCAGCAGAGAUGGAAGAGAGAAAGGAACACGACAAAGUACAGGUGGGUUCCAUACGAGUGGCACCGGGGGCCCCUCUCUUGGCUUCUACCUGUCUGUCGCCAGUUUAUCACUUACAUACUAUGUGGCUCAGGACCACAGAAGAUUAAAUGUGAUCAUCGAUGUAAAAUGUCAAACACAUAGCAGUUCCUCAAUAAAUUUCUACUCCCGCCCUUUCCUCCCCCGUCAUGUAAUAUGUCCCAUGACACUGUAAGUUCAGGCAGAGGCUUUGUCUGGUCCAUCUUUGGCUCUUCAGCUCCUUCAGCAGAACCUGGCUUACAGUAGGUGCUCAAUAAAUGCUUGUGUUCGUGAGAGAAUGGACCAUGAUUAAGCCCUUCUACCACCCCUGAACGUUACGUUUGUUUUUCAAUUUCCUUCGUGAUAAAAAUCACCACAACAAAUAUAUUUGUUCCUAUUUUGUAUCAUUUCUUUUGUCUAGACUCAAGGAAGUAGAAAUAGAGAGUCAAGGGGUAAAUUUCCCUAAAUUAUUUUCUGAUGGGUCUGUAUGAAAUGACCAUUCUAGCAGCUCUGUAUAAACGGCAUUUGUCUUACUCCUUGUCUGAGAAACUCAUUUUCCACCUAUGUGUCUCUUUUAUUGCUCACACCAAACACUUAACUUAUGACAUUUCUGGUCACCCAGUGUGACCAGGUUUCCCGCACCCCAAGCAAUUUUCCUCAACACCAGCAGGGUGACCCACAAUUUAAUUCACUGUGACACUGUCUACCUGGGGAAGGCAUCAGAUCCCACAGGUUGAAGGCUCCGUCCCACAAACUGCACCCCCUUCAGAUGCCAAUCGCACAUAGGGGGUCCCCAGGCUACUCACAAUCUCCGUCUGACCUGGCUAUAAAUCAGAGGUUCUCACAACCCCCUCCCCAGUUUCGAUAAUCUGCUAGAGCCAUUCACAGAACUCAGGGAAGCCCUUAGUCACAUUGACCAACUUCUUAAAGAAUAUAAUAAGGAUACAGAUGAACAGCCAGAUGAAGAGACCCACAGAGCAAGAGCUGGGAGAGCUGUGAGCACAGGAGUUUCAGUCUUUGUGGAGUCAGGGUACAUCGCCCUCCCUGUGUGGAUGUGUUCCUCAACCUGGAAGCUUCCCCCAAACCCCGGGCUAUUGGGGUUCAAUACGGGCUUCCUGACCUAGGUGUGUUCUACUCUUAGCUCUGUUCCCAGCCCCACUCGCUCCCUGGAGAAGUUGGGGGCAGGAGGAGUGUUGAUAAUUCACGCUUCUAAUGAUGGCUUGGUCCUUCUGGAGACCAGCCUCCCUCCAGGAGCCAACCGGGAGCACAUCCAGAGUCAGCUCAGUGGAAUGAAAGAGGUUUCUAUACUUUUAUCAC